UAUUUCACCCAAUUAGCUGAUUUUUAAGUGUAAAUCUCUACAUCUUCACUGCAGCAUUCCUACUUUUCUACAACCUUCACGCUUUUCUCUGCUUUUGUCUCAGCACAAUCGGACUGUAAGCUGUGGGUUAUUGACCGCAAGUGUUUUCAGACCGCGCUCAUGCACUGCAGUCUCAGCCGGCUUUCUCAUUCAGCGGAGCUGCUGGGAAGCCUUCCCCUCCUGCAGUCAUUGCCAGAGGAUGUCAUCAUGAAGAUUUCUGAGCUCGUGAAAGAGGUGAGCUCCUCAGAUGUACUUCUAACAGAAUCUGGGUUGCAUGUCCACACAUGAAGUCCAUGUACAACUUUCUGUAACACUCUUACAUUCAAUAUGCAACACUUUUCCUGCUUCCUCCUGUGAUUUUUUUAUGUCUUCUCAUACAGACAAAUUAUGCAGAUGGUGAAUACAUAAUUCACCAAGGAGCCGUGGAAGACAACCUUUAUGUCAUCAGCAAAGGACAGGUAAAGCUACAUUUCCUCCUUCAUACGAUAGUUAACGUGAGAAAUGAAAAAAUCUGAAUAUUCUUUCUAUUGUACCUGACAGGUGACUCUGACAGAAAUGAAGGCGGGGCAUGAGGAGCACACCGUCUUGUCUGAGCUCUCUGAGGAGCCAUGGUUUGGAGAGAACGCUGUUUGGAGGUCAGGUGGAACAGUCUCACGGGAUGUCCUGACAAAGCUGGAAUAUUUUAUUGUAAAAUCUCAUUUAUCUCUGGUUUUCUGACAUAGUUUGUUGACUCUGUUCCCUCAGGGAAGACACUUGGACUGUGAGUGCAAUGGCUGUCGGUGCAGUGACAUGUUUGGUAAUAGACAGAGAGUAAGCAAGAAUUUUAUAGUAGAAACAUUUAUUGAUUUAUUUGUAUUUUGUCUCGAGUGAGCUUUUCAGUAAGUUUUAAAGUGAAAAAGCUUCUAAACUUAGACAUGCAGUAAUUGUGUUUCAUCAGCACACAGCUUGGGUGAUAUAGAUUUUUUCAAGCUGAGUAGAAAAAAAAGAUUAAAAUAAUAGUUUGAUUAGUGUAAAACGUUUAAAAACAAGGUGAUGUAGAAAAUGGAGUGUAACAGUGGGUCUCUUUUGAAAAAAAGACUGAUUGAGGGUAAUUAAUCAGAGCUGAACAAUAAUGUGACAUUUCAUAGGGUUUUUCUGUACUUAGGGUUGAAAAAUAUUAUGAAUCUUGUCAGUUGAAAUCAGUCGAGCUCUGAUUUGUGGUGAAUAAACCAAGGCACUAAGGUUUUUUCAAGUGAAGUCUUCUCAGGUUUAAAAUACAAACAA
rnacentral:lncRNA from 1 species